rnacentral:tRNA from 1 species
AAAACUUACAAGCAGAAUGCCAGCGGUUCGAAUCCGUUUACUCCC